GAUGAACGCUGGCGGCGUGCCUAAUACAUGCAAGUCGAGCGACCGGACGAGAAGCUUGCUUCUCUGAUGUUAGCGGCGGACGGGUGAGUAACACGUGGAUAACCUACCUAUAAGACUGGGAUAACUUCGGGAAACAGGAGCUAAUGAUGGAUAAUAUUUUGAACCGCAUGGUUCAAAAGUGAAAGACGGUCUUGCUGUCACUUAUAGAUGGAUCCGCGCUGCAUUAGCUAGUUGGUAAGGUAACGGCUUACCAAGGCAACGAUGCAUAGCCGACCUGAGAGGAUGAUCAGCCACACUGGAACUGAGACACGGUCCAGACUCCUACGGGAGGCAGCAGUAGGGAAUCUUCCACAAUGGGCGAAAGCCUGACGGAGCAACGCCGCGUGAGUGAUGAAGGUCUUCGGAUCGUAAAGCUCUGUUAUUAGGAAAGAACAGAUGUGUAAGUAACUGUGCACAUCUUGACGGUACCUAAUCAGAAAGCCACGGCUAACUUCGUG
rnacentral:rRNA from 1 species